GGACUCGAGUCCCGUUGCCGACUCGCGCUCUUGGCUCCUGCUCCGGGGCUUCUUCCCUGCCCGCCCGGGGCCCUGACCGUGGCCUCUUCGCCGGCCUGAUCCGCGCAGCCCGGCGGGCGCCCAGAAGGAGCAGGCGGCGCGGGGGCGCGCUGGGCGGGGGAGGCGUGGCCGGAGCCGCGGCGGCCAGCGGGCUGGGACUGCUCGGCCGCCUCCUGCCCGGCGAGCAGCUCAGACCAUGUCGCCUGAAGAAUGGACAUAUCUAGUGGUUCUUCUUAUCUCCAUCCCCAUUGGCUUCCUCUUUAAGAAAGCCGGUCCUGGGCUGAAGAGAUGGGGGGCAGCCGCUGUGGGCCUGGGGCUCACCCUGUUCACCUGUGGCCCCCACACUUUGCAUUCUCUGGUCACCAUCCUCGGGACCUGGGCCCUCAUUCAGGCCCAGCCCUGCGUGCCUCCUGCUUUUGCCCAGCU
rnacentral:sRNA from 1 species